rnacentral:tmRNA from 1 species
GGGGCCGCAAUGGUUUCGACGGGGAUUUUGCGGUAUGAUAAGCGGGUAGUGUUGGGGAAACACUAAAAUAAUCCUCACAAAAAAUUAAACGCUGAUAAUAGCGAACUCGUAGCAGCGUAAGCUGCGCCGCCUUUGGCGGAUUGUCUAUGCGGUGAGUGCCACGGCUCCGCCCAGGCAUAAAAUCAGUGGCCAACGUGAACAAUCGGUUAUUCUUUGAGAUUGUCAUGAACUAAAAGAAUACCGACGGGGAUAUCCUGCAUGCCGGAGAUUUCUGUCGGGAAUUUCAGUAGACAUGCUGCACCCGGAGAAAGUCAUAUCAAGAGAUUUUCGGACGUGGGUUCGAUUCCCACCGGCUCCACCA